GCAGUCGUGGCCGAGUGGUUAAGGCGAUGGACUCGAACUACAUUGGGGUCUCCCCGCACAGGUUCGAAUCCUGUCGGCUGCG
rnacentral:tRNA from 1 species